rnacentral:rRNA from 1 species
GGAAUCUUGGACAAUGGGCGAAAGCCUGAUCCAGCCAUGCCGCGUGAGUGAAGAAGGCCUUAGGGUUGUAAAGCUCUUUUGGCAGGGACGAUAAUGACGGUACCUGCAGAAUAAGCCCCGGCAAACUUCGUGCCAGCAGCCGCGGUAAUACGGAGGGGGCUAGCGUUGUUCGGAAUUACUGGGCGUAAAGCGCACGUAGGCGGCUUUGUAAGUUAGAGGUGAAAGCCCGGAGCUCAACUCCGGAACUGCCUUUAAGACUGCAUCGCUUGAACGUCGGAGAGGUAAGUGGAAUUCCGAGUGUAGAGGUGAAAUUCGUAGAUAUUCGGAAGAACACCAGUGGCGAAGGCGACUUACUGGACGACUGUUGACGCUGAGGUGCGAAAGCGUGGGGAGCAAAC